AGAAAUUUAGGAUAUAUAAACCAGGGGCCUUCAAAGCCCCAAAAAAGAGACAUCUCUUAAUUUCUG
rnacentral:tRNA from 1 species